rnacentral:sRNA from 1 species
UAGCGGUGUAUGCACGUGACGGCCUACU